rnacentral:rRNA from 1 species
CCUACGGGGGGCAGCAGUGAGGAAUAUUGGUCAAUGGACGAGAGUCUGAACCAGCCAAGUAGCGUGAAGGAUGACUGCCCUAUGGGUUGUAAACUUCUUUUAUAUGGGAAUAAAAUGUUCCACGUGUGGGAUUUUGUAUGUAUCAUAUGAUUAAGGCUCGGCUAACUCCGUGCCAGCAGCCGCGGUAAUACGGAGGUACCGAGCGUUAUCCGGAUUUAUUGGGUUUAAAGGGAGCGUAGGUGGAUUGUUAAGUCAGUUGUGAAAGUUUGCGGCUCAACCGUAAAAGUGCAGUUGAAACUGGCAGUCUAGAGUACAGGAGAGGUAGGCGGAAUUCGUGGUGUAGCGGUGAAAUGCUUAGAUAUCAGGAAGAACACCGAUUGCGAAGGCAGCUCACUGGACGGCAACUGACGCUGAGGCUCGAAAGUGUGGGGAUCAAACAGGAUUAGAUACCCUUGUAGUC